rfam:Myotis lucifugus cont2.51441, whole genome shotgun sequence.
GAGACACCCUUCUGGGGCAAGACUUUCUUCAGUAGGGCUUUGGUGCUCACUGAGUCUGCCCCCUGAGUGUGUCCCU